CUGAAUCUGAAUUGCGGACUUCCAAUUUUAUUACUUUUUUUCUGAAAAGAACAAUUAAUUAAUUUAGAGCCCUGUGGCCCUCAAUUCUCCACCAUUUUUUCUUGCCUCGCCAUGACCUAAACCAAGAUACUACAUCAUGCAUGACAUGGAAGGUUUCCCUGUUUGCAAUGCAUUGUGGGAUACAAAUUUGCAACCUGAGAGAACAAUGGAGCACGUGAGUGUGUGCAUGGGAAGAUCGACUACAGUAAUGGAAAGUGAGAAGAAAAGACCAUGUAUUGCGAAGGAAAGGAAAUGCAGGACCAAACUAAUACAAAUAAAUAUUGCCGAUCGUAUAUACAGUAUAUCACUCCUUCCUACGGAAGCGUAUUAGGGCCACUUGGAGAAAAUAUUUUUUUCUAAAUUCGGAAGCGUAUUAGGGCCACUUGGAGAAAAUAUUUUUUUCUAAAUUCCGAGAUUAAAAGUCGAAAUUUUCGAGAAAAAAAGUCGAAAUUUUCGAGAAAAAAAGUCGAAAUUUUCGAGAAAAAAAGUCGAAAUCUUCGAGAAAAAAAGUCGAAAUCUUCGAGAAAAAAAGUCGAAAUCUUCGAGAAAAAAAGUCGAAAUCUUCGAGAUUAAAAGUCGAAAUUUUCGAGAAAAAAAGUCGAAAUUAUGACAUACAAAGAACGCAUGCUCUAACUGCUGCCAUGGUAACGAAUGGCCACCGGAAAGGGAAGUCGUGGAAAGUGGCUGCCAACCGGCCUGGUCCUGAACAUGUGAACUUAGCGACAUUGACUCUGAAUGCAAGACACAAGGGAUGCAGUUGAAAGGAAGAAGUUGAUGGGGUUGUAUCGACUUGGAAUGACCACAGAGUCCAUCAAGUCCACAACUCUCGUUCACCUCAUGGACGUCCCUCCAUAUUACAUGCAGUCCCUCAGCUGUACGGAGGCAGAGACGAUUUGCAGAAUGUGGAGAAAGUUGAAGUCUGCCUUGAAGAGUGCAUGUUCAAAGACUUUCCAUGUGAUGAGGAUGUGUUUCACAUUUGUGUGGACCUAAUGUCAGAGCAUAAUCUGUCAUUAACAAAUGUAUUUGAAACAGUUAACCUGUAUCUCACACUCAGACAGCUGAUAAACAAUGAUCUUGAUGUAAAUCAUUAAUUUUAUUGGACGCGGUCUUGUCACCUGUUGUAAGGUGAGAUAGUACUGUAUUCAAGCAUCCCGUAACAUCCACAACAAGAUACACAUGAUGUCAAGGUUGCCAUGGUCGUGGACACCAACAGGCACAGGCCAUUUCAGAGAUGUCUUUUUGUUUUUUCCUUUGCCCAUUUUAUUCACAAUUUGAAAUAUUGCAGUUUAACUGAUUGCCAAUUAAAAUGUUUUUUUACUUGUAAUACCUGCUUUAAAAGAUGUAGCUUCUUAUUUUCACAUCAAAUGUAUUAGCAGUCAAGUUAUUUUGUUCUACCAUUCAACAUUUGCAAAUAUGAAUAAAAAUGCAAAAUCCUAACAA